ensembl:lncRNA
AGAGGAGGAAGUAGGGCCAGGCACCUCCAUUCCCUGAGGGAUGAUUUCGGGGCAGAAGCUCAUCUCUAGAAGGGUUUGUAACCCAAAAGCAGGGUGGUAAGUUAAGAGCCGCUCACACAUUCAAGGAGUUCACAGGCACAGCGUCUAGUGCACUUCCUCUUGUAAGCAUUAGGGCUUGGAGGUUUGAAACAGACGCUGCUCCGUGGCCCCGUGGGAUGGCCACACGACCCACCUCCUUCACGAGCUCGCUCUGGGCUUUGUCUACUUUUAGGCUGCAGUUCGGGGUGACGUUUUGACUUUUCAGAUCUUAGUAAAGAGUACAAUGAAUUCACAGCUGGGCUGCAGGAGUCUCUAUGCAUGACAACCCCCAGAAGCUGGCUGCAGCAGAGAGGGUGACACAAGAACUGAGCCUCAGAGAGGCUGUCCAAGGGGAUGUCCCUUGGUUCCUGGAGACAGCCUGGGCAGAACGACACCAAGAAGGAAAGCCUGUCCUCUGUGACCAACACAGAGCCUGGAGGAGGACACUGGACAAGUGAAAUGAGCCAGAGACAGAAAGCAAAUACUGCGUGACCUCCUUCACUUGUGGAAUGUAAGGAGUUGAACUCAGAGUAGAGAGCAAAUGGUGGUUACCAGAGGCUACGGAGGAGCUGUUAAAGGGAAAGGAGUUUCAGGUCAAGAGGAGUAGCUUUAGAAGAUCUAUUGCACAGCAUGGAGGCUAGGGUUAAAAAUAAUAUGUAAAUUUCAGAAUUGCCAAGAGAGACUCAAACAUUCUUAGCCCAGGAACUUGGCAUGUGAACUGAUGGUUAUGUUAAUUAGGUUGAUUCAAUCAUGUCAAAGCGUUAUAUUGUGGCACUUUUCUAUAAUUAAAAGGAAAUGAGAAUCCAUUUGACUGUAAAUGGUCACCUAGGUCUCCACAAUAUCUUAGGAGACCCUAACUACAGCCUGCACAUUGGGCAUUAUGAGGUUAGAACAUGGCUGGCUUCUUUCCAUCCUAUUCCCAUUUCUUCUUCAGUUCAAUCAUGCAGCGCUGCAUUAUUCUCCUGCAUCCUGUCUUCCCAAGCACCUCUUGAAGUUUGCCCUUGAUGCUACAUAAUUCGUUUUUAUCCUUGAAAUGGAGCCUGCCCGGUGGCUGCAGUCUUCUCAGCCCUGAGCUUGUUGGCCAGCACAUGGCAGCAGUUACUCCUGCAUGCAACAUGGUGCUGUGGUUCAGGAGGAGAUGGGACAGGAGGAGUCAAGGGCAGGAGGCAGAGCAAAGGCAGAAAGAGAAAGCCAGAGAACGGGCUGCAGGGCCCUUCUGAACUGUGCUGUCAUGAAGCACGCACUGAUGGAGGGAGGUGUGAAUGAAACUCAGAGUCUGAUGAUGGGACUUGCUCAAAGACAAGACGUAGACAUGACUUUUGCAGAGCAGGGCAUGUACCCUGAACCCAGAAUAUUGCUAGAGGAGCUGGCAGAGUUAGGGGCAGUCAGGGGGUGGUUCAAUCAAGGAUACUCUCUGGCUUAAUUUCUUUUUGAUGUUUGUUGCAGGUUUUGCUUCAAAUAAUCACAAGGAAUUGAGAAAAGUCUUAGAAUGUUUUUUUUCAUGCAAUUUCUAAAAUGUUAUUGGUUUUAAAAAGUUGAAAGGAAAGGGUUUCCCUCUUCCUAUUGGAUUUUUCCAAUUCUAGGAGCCAUUGUUUUCUGUUCACCUUAAAAUCAUUUUCAAUUUUUUUGUGUAUUUGGCAAAAAUGGAUGAUCAGUACACUAAUUUUAUAUGCAGGAAUGGUUAGGAAAUUACUGUGAUAAGGGACAUUGGAUAUGCAUGUUUCUCCUGUCUCAUAUAAAAGAGCCUCCAGAUUGCCCUAUUUUAAAAAUAUCAUCUUGUUCAACCUCUGCUAUUGGAAUUGUUAAUAUUUACAACAUUUAUCAGUUGUUUGUACCCAUUUAUUAGUUGUUUGUAAAUAGUGUUAAUAUUACAAAAAGAAACAUUCGUGGAGUGGGGUAUAUAGAAGAUGUCUGGAUGCUGGAGAAUGUAGGGUAUGAGCUCAUUCUGUUUAUUCAUCAUGAUUUCUCAAGGGAGGAAAUAUAUUCCCUUCUCACUUGCAAGGUCUCCCAGGUGGAAGGCAAUUGUGAAGCCAGUCUGCUUGCCCUUUCAAUCAAGUUCUUGGUUUUGCUGUGAAGCUGUGUAAAUCUGGGAGUCCCUAGGACCACUUUGGAGGGAUGUACAAGAAAGAAUAAAGUGAAG